rnacentral:lncRNA from 1 species
GUAAAAUUAUUCUAAAAUAUAGCAAUAAUAUUUUUAUUAAAAACUUCAUGUGUAAAAUUACUAAUACAGUUAUUUAUGCAAAAGUGAAUUUAUGUAAAAUAUAAUUACUGGAAAUCUUAAAACCAUUGUCACACUCCGACUUCACACUUAUACUUAAGAAUUAGAUUAGGAGAAAAUAUGGUGUACGUAUAUCAAAUUUAUGUACGUGAUGAGAUUGUCGCAUGCAAUGCUACUCCUACUAUUGUACUAAUUUCAUUGUUUUAUCCGAAUUGAAAUUCUGUAGCAUUUUUUCCACAUCGAUUGGCCUUUUG